rnacentral:rRNA from 3 species
AAAUUGAAGAGUUUGAUCAUGGCUCAGAUUGAACGCUGGCGGCAGGCCUAACACAUGCAAGUCGAACGGUAACAGGAAGCAGCUUGCUGCUUCGCUGACGAGUGGCGGACGGGUGAGUAAUGUCUGGGAAACUGCCUGAUGGAGGGGGAUAACUACUGGAAACGGUGGCUAAUACCGCAUAACGUCGCAAGACCAAAGAGGGGGACCUUCGGGCCUCUUGCCAUCAGAUGUGCCCAGAUGGGAUUAGCUAGUUGGUGAGGUAACGGCUCACCAAGGCGACGAUCCCUAGCUGGUCUGAGAGGAUGACCAGCCACACUGGAACUGAGACACGGUCCAGACUCCUACGGGAGGCAGCAGUGGGGAAUAUUGCACAAUGGGCGCAAGCCUGAUGCAGCCAUGCCGCGUGUAUGAAGAAGGCCUUCGGGUUGUAAAGUACUUUCAGCGGGGAGGAAGGUGUUGUGGUUAAUAACCGCAGCAAUUGACGUUACCCGCAGAAGAAGCACCGGCUAACUCCGUGCCAGCAGCCGCGGUAAUACGGAGGGUGCAAGCGUUAAUCGGAAUUACUGGGCGUAAAGCGCACGCAGGCGGUCUGUCAAGUCGGAUGUGAAAUCCCCGGGCUCAACCUGGGAACUGCAUUCGAAACUGGCAGGCUUGAGUCUUGUAGAGGGGGGUAGAAUUCCAGGUGUAGCGGUGAAAUGCGUAGAGAUCUGGAGGAAUACCGGUGGCGAAGGCGGCCCCCUGGACAAAGACUGACGCUCAGGUGCGAAAGCGUGGGGAGCAAACAGGAUUAGAUACCCUGGUAGUCCACGCCGUAAACGAUGUCUACUUGGAGGUUGUGCCCUUGAGGCGUGGCUUCCGGAGCUAACGCGUUAAGUAGACCGCCUGGGGAGUACGGCCGCAAGGUUAAAACUCAAAUGAAUUGACGGGGGCCCGCACAAGCGGUGGAGCAUGUGGUUUAAUUCGAUGCAACGCGAAGAACCUUACCUGGUCUUGACAUCCACAGAACUUUCCAGAGAUGGAUUGGUGCCUUCGGGAACUGUGAGACAGGUGCUGCAUGGCUGUCGUCAGCUCGUGUUGUGAAAUGUUGGGUUAAGUCCCGCAACGAGCGCAACCCUUAUCCUUUGUUGCCAGCGGUCCGGCCGGGAACUCAAAGGAGACUGCCAGUGAUAAACUGGAGGAAGGUGGGGAUGACGUCAAGUCAUCAUGGCCCUUACGACCAGGGCUACACACGUGCUACAAUGGCGCAUACAAAGAGAAGCGACCUCGCGAGAGCAAGCGGACCUCAUAAAGUGCGUCGUAGUCCGGAUUGGAGUCUGCAACUCGACUCCAUGAAGUCGGAAUCGCUAGUAAUCGUGGAUCAGAAUGCCACGGUGAAUACGUUCCCGGGCCUUGUACACACCGCCCGUCACACCAUGGGAGUGGGUUGCAAAAGAAGUAGGUAGCUUAACCUUCGGGAGGGCGCUUACCACUUUGUGAUUCAUGACUGGGGUGAAGUCGUAACAAGGUAACCGUAGGGGAACCUGCGGUUGGAUCACCUCCUUACCUUAAAGAA